rnacentral:rRNA from 1 species
GACAGAGGCCCCGAGCGUUAGUCGGAAUUACUGGGCUUAAAGGGUGCGUAGGCGGGCGUGUAAGUGUCUUGUGAAAGCCCCGGGCUCAACCCGGGAACCGCAGGGCAUACUGCACGUCUCGAAGAAGCUAGAGGCCGGUGGAACGAUCGGUGGAGCGGUGGAAUGCGUAGAGAUCGAUCGGAACGCCAAGGGUGAAGACAACCGGCUGGGGCUUUCUUGACGCUGAGGCACGAAAGCGUGGGGAUCAAACAGG